GCUUAACACAUGCAAGUCGAACGGACAGUUAUUUAUAGCUUCGGCUAUGAGUAUCUGUUAGUGGCAGACGGGUGAGUAAUGCGUAGGAAUCUGCCUAGUAGUAUGGAAUAGCUAUUAGAAAUGAUAGGUAAUACUGUAUAAUCCCUGCGGGGGAAAGAUUUAUCGCUAUUAGAUGAGCCUACGUUAGAUUAGCUAGUUGGUAAGGUAAUGGCUUACCAAGGCAAUGAUCUAUAGCUGGUCUGAGAGGACGAUCAGCCACACUGGAACUGAGAUACGGUCCAGACUCCUACGGGAGGCAGCAGUGGGGAAUAUUGGACAAUGGGAA
rnacentral:rRNA from 1 species